rnacentral:lncRNA from 1 species
UUUUUUUAUAUGUUCUGCAGAACAAUUAUUUGGUAACUUCAAAUUUCUAAAAAUAUAGUCCAUUUCAUGAAGUUUCCGGAAAUAACAAAAGAGUUCCUUCUACAGAAAGUUUCAAAUCAGUCCCUAACUUCAGAUAUUUGACAGUUUAACCACCAGAGGGCAGAGGCGGCUCAAGCAUACUUGAGGCCUUAGGCAAAAGAAAAAUAUUGAGGCCCCUAAAUAAUUCUUUUUGCUUUUUGAUGCACAAAAGUUUCAGUCGAAUAUUUGUAAUCAAGUUCAGCUAUCAUUUUCUUCUCUAUAGAUAACAUAGCCAAACUAUUCGACCUCUCUUUUGACAUAGUCAUUUUCUUCUCUAUAGAUAACAUAGUCAAACCAUUUAACCUCUUAUGUGAUAUAGUUGAUUGAAGGUAGUUUUUUAUCAACUUCAACUUGGAAAAACUUCUCUUAGCGGUAGGUACAGUAACAAGUAUUGUCAGUAUUAUUCCAUAUAUAUUUUAAGUGGCUAUUUAAAUAGAUACUUGAGACACAAAAGUAAUACUUGAUUAAUUACUAUUAUAGUAAAAUACUUGUGUAAUGAUAGUUGGUCCACUUCAAUUUAGAAUUUUUAAAUAUUAAUUAAAUACACUCAUAUUAAAAUUUUACUAUAUUUAAAAUUUGUGGCCCCUAAAAUAACAAGGCCCUAGGCACCGGCCUAGGCCAGCUCCCCCUAGAGCCGGUACUGUUAAUCGCUGAAGCUUCGAGUUUUGACAUUUCAGCCCUUAAAACUUCUGUGUGUAAAAUGAACCGGGUAGAACCGGGCACCCCUUUGCUCAAGGAUCAAUUUGUUUUUAGUGUGUUCAAAUUUGGGUCCACUAUGAUUUUAUUCGAAUGUAAACCUAUUAAUACCUCCGCAUCCAAACCAAAUAUGAACCAUUAUCGUAUUUUUUAUUAUCAUAUCAAGUUUAUCAUUCUAAAAUUAAUACCCUUCACUUGCUAGUUUCGGGUUUCUUUGUACCUCAACCACUGUCCCUCAAGCAGAGUAGGAAAUUUUUCUUCAUUCCAGUCCGGUCUUGCAUGGAAAAUAAUUGUUCUUGCCUUCUACAAAACUCGUGGACAAGUUUUCUCUAAUAAGGGGAGAAAGUAAUAAGGGAGAAAACAAAGGGAGAUUGAUAGAGAACGGAACUGAAAAUAUAUAAUCGUUAUUAGUGUGUGUGUGUUUGUGUGUAUAUAUAUUGUAAGAAUAAAUAAAUGUAUUUAUAUAUUUAUUACUCCCUCUGUCCCAACCAUUUAUUUACACUUCACAUUUUGGGAUGUCCCUUCCAAUUUUUUGCAUUUUAAAAUUUACCAAAAAAAUUGAAAAAAAUUAUAAUACAAAAAUUAAAGACAUUCACUACUUUCCUCCAAUAUACUCACUUUAUACAUUAAACAUUAAUCGGUCCUGCCACUAUACAUACUUUUCUUUCUUUUUCUCCCUUUAGUUAUUUCCUUAAUCCAACCCAUAUGUAAACAUUUGGGUGGGAAGGAGGGGGUAUAUACGUGGAGUUAUAUAUUUAUAAUAUAGCCCAGCUGUUACUACGGCCCUUAAUCUGUUCUCUAACAUAUUGACGUAAUCCCUGCAUACUAAUUAGACUUGAUUAUAUAUGAUGCUUCUGAUAUCAUUAUUGAUUUGAGUCUCUUUUUGGUGCAAUCCAUAUUCCAUAGUCUUUAUCCCUUUUACAGGCGAAGCCCUUCAGAGGAAUGGGUUUUUUGCCAGUCCUGAGCCUACAAAUUCAUUGAGGUUUAACUAUUCAAAUAUAUAAACAAAAUUUUCAUAAACGAGUAAACUUACCAGAGGUUCAACCUCUUCGUCCAAUACUUCAACUAAAGAUGUAUUAUAGGCCAAACGACGCCAUAACAUUUGGUACUCUCUCGGAUUAGAUAUACCAGUGCUGGUCUUUCUCACCAUCUCAUUCCAAUCAAACUUUUCAUCCGCAACUCGAGAUAGCUCUUGAAGUAAUGCCAAUACAGUAGUUGGAGAAUACCUUCAUACAUCACAACUUCUACGUCACAUACACAUAAAUAUAAUUCAAAAUAAACACAUAAAUUAGCACAAACACACAAAAUGCUGAUAGUAUAAUCUAUUAUAAUAGCAUAGACUAUACAUUCAAUUCAAAUAUAGUGAACAUCACAGUGCAUACAAUUUAUGCAUAACAGUAACUUUCACGUUUCUCGUCGCGCUAAAAAUUGUUUUACACCGAAAUGCUCAAAUGAAUUUGAAUUUCAAAAUUUCUAGAACAAAUUACACUCCUAUAAAAAAAAUUAACAGAUAUUAUAUAAAAACAAUUAUCUAUAUGUAAUCAGAUAACAACCUUUGCAAGACGAUUGCGAUGUCUUCUUCGGAGAUGAAUCCGCGUUUCCGCUUCUUCGUGUUCUCAAUCAUUGUGAUUUCUCCGCAACUGAAAUUCCGGUACUUAAACCCUAACUAACAACCGGGGGUUUAAGAAGCAAAUUCAGCUUUCAUACCGCGUUGUGAUGGAAGAAGACGCGCCGCCGAGCUGAGCUGAGAGCGUAGAAAACACGCGCCGUCGGGAAUAUCGGCGAGACUUGAGAGAGACCGGUGGAGAGAGAGUGCGGGCAGAGAAGGGAAAAAUUCUGGAAAAUGAAUUCGGGAGAAUGAUGUGAAAUUACGAAAGUGACCUUGUUGUAUAAUUUUGAUUUUUUUUUUCCAGUGUGCCGAAUCUCCAGUUGUUGACAUCGACGGUGUGAGGUUAAAUACCAGGUGUGUGGGUCAUAAUCGUGGAUUUGGUGAAAGUGAAUAAAUUAUUCGUUGGUCUUCUUUUAAUAAACUUUUAAACGGAAGAAAUGUGUAAGCAUUAUAACAUAAUAUAGUGAAUCUGUCAAAAAUACCCCCUUUAUAAUUCUUUUGCGAUUUUACUUUAAAUAUAUUUAUAAAAAUAUUAAUUUUUUAAAAAUAAUUGCAAAAGUAUAAUGAGCAGCCAAAUGAACUUCACUUAAGGGUCUGGGAUCCUCGGUCCCCUCUUUGUGUCUCCCUAUGUGUCCCCUUCUUUUUAUUGAUUAGUUCUUUUACUUCUCACGGGAUCUCUUGUCAUUGCAAAAUACAAAUAAAUUACAAGUAUUCAACUGAGUUAUUUUCUGUGAACUCUGAGAUAAAAUCUUUUGUAAUUGCAGGCUUAAUUUAUUUCUUCUCAAUGUAGACUUCAAUUUUAUAUAUUCUCAAUCAUCUUUUUUUGUUGCAUUAAAUAUUAACUCCAUGAUGUAUAGUUUGGUUUAUCAAAAAAAAUGUACCAGUGAAUUUCCUUCAUAUACCAAUUUAAUUUUAUUAGAUUAAAUAUUAUAUAAAUAACAUCUCAAUUUUUUAAUAUAAUUUAAGUCAUAAAGAAAGUUUUUCUUUUGCUUUCAAAUUUAAUAAUAUUAAAGUUUACAAAAUUUUAAUUAAUUAUUUAAUAUAGAAAAACCUAAACAUAAAAUUACUGCAUAGUAUUAUAUUUAUAUCAUGUAAAAAAUAUUUUUAGUUGAUUAUGUACUAUAUGGAAAAGAUAAUGUAAAUAAAGUAUAUCUUUGCUUUUAAAUUUAAUAAUAUAAAAAUUUUCAAAAUUUUAAUUAAUUAUUUCAUGUAGAAAACAUAAAAAUAAAGUUACUAUAUAAUAUUAUAUUUAUAUCAUGUAAAAAAUAUUUUUAGUUGAUUAUGUACUAUAUGAAAAAGAUAUUUAAAUAAUUGAGAUAUAUUUCUAUAGAUUUGAAAAAGUUUAUAUAAUAAGCUCCGUGAAAAAAUAAAUAAGAAUUAUAGAAUUAUAGAUCACGUGAUAAGUAAAAGAACGGACCAAUAAAAAAGAGGGGACACGGAGACAAAGAGGGGAUAGAGGAUCCGGACUCUUCACUUAAUUGGUUACGCAGGGGUUGCAAGUAUAAUUGCACGGGGCUGUAACGGGUUCAAACUAAUAUUAACUUUACAUGUACUUUUAAUUUAUCUUCUAAAUUUUAUAUUUACAAUAAUAUAUUAUUUUUUGCAAAAUUGUGAGAACAUAAAAUAAUUCUUUAUCUUAUUUAUAUGACAAGUUUUAAUUAAUUUCAUCACAUAAAUAAUAUUGAGGCCCCCCUGCAUAUACAAUAAUUUUCUAAUUAAAAUAAGGCACCUAACUAAAAUCACUCAAUUUGACAUUAAUAAUAAAUUUAUAAUUUUUUAUUAUUUUAACAUUAUUAAAAAAUAAAAAUAAUUAGUAUUAUAAUAUAAUACUCCCUCCGUCCCAUUUUAACUGCUUUUGACUUUUUUACACGUAUUUUAAGGUGUUAAAAAAAUCACAUCUAAACAUAAUUAUUGUUUAUAAAAUUUAUAUCAAAUAAAAGUUUGGAAUCUAAACUUUUAUUUGAUAUAAGAAUUAAAUCUUUUUAUUAUUGAGCGUAGAUAUUAUUUUUUUACAUCUCAAUAUACGUGUCAAAAAGUCAAACAUCAGUUAAAAUGGGAUAGAGGGAGUACAUAAAUAAACAAAAUAUUAAAUUUGCUUCAUAAAUAUGAAACAUUUGAAUUUUCUGUUUAGAAAUCAAUGUUGCUGUAAUGCAUGAUGCACGGAUAAUAACACCUAAUCAAUGCUCUAAACCUGGGCACAGAGGAGCCAUUUAUCUAACAUAUCCAUGUACAUACUAAACACCGAAUUAUAUGCUAACUAGCUCAUUGAUUGAAUGCUCUAUUUUAACAGUAUAUGUGGUGUGUGUUUACGAGCAUAUACUAAAUUCUUUACAUUUAGCUUAUUUUGAUUAGGGUAUGUUUUUAUAUAUAACGAGAGUCUCAAAAAAUAGUUUUAUGUCAUUUCCUUGGCAAUCUGUUGGUCACGACACGGUUGGUGUGGUAUUUUGUUGGAAAGUCAUCACUAAUUUAUGUCCUCAGAUUUAGCAUCAGAAAUUGCAUGUGAAACAAUCUUUUUGUUGCUCAGAUAUCAUCAAUUAUGCACCAACAAACAACUCUUUUCCGUCUGGAAAAGAAAAUAAGAACUAGUCCUUGGCUUUUUUAAACUUAGGAAAUGAUAUUGGCCAACCCAACAAAUAUAAUAUCGUGAGAAAUAUUAAUUUUAUAUUAUGGUCAGACAAGAAGGUAAAAUAUGGCAAGCUCCUAACUAAAUCCAUAUAUAAUUACGUACGUGACGGAAUAGUUCAACAACUCAAGUUAUCCAUUAUCAUUCUAAUAUUACGAAUUCAAUUCUCGCUCGGUCUGAUAUUUAAAUUGUCACAAUAUAUAAUGGUACUAUGAUACUAAGUAUUUCGACAAACACAGCCACAGUAACAAGAAGAUCAGUUCUGGUAAACUAAUCGAUGUCAGAGAUUGAGGUUCUGUUGCAUCCUCCUCUAGCCUCAGAUGUAUAAAUAUAUCUUAAUCAUAAUCUUCCGCGAAUCAAGUAAUAGUUGCAACCUUUGUAUUCAACAUUUCUUGCUGCACAAAAAAUCUCUUACCCGCACAAGAUAAGAAACUUUAAUCAAUUGACAAUCGUAAUCGAAGCAUGUUUAAGCUAAGAAGAAUAGUAGAAUUAUUAAGUCGAAUCAAGCUAAAAACUCCCAUUAAUUGCAUUCAAAUGUCCACAACUUUUGUAGCAUGACAAAUUUGAAGAAAAGUACUUAAAACAGAGAUUUAUUACAUAACUUUGUAAAAUCAGCCCUUUCAAUACAUAUGAAUCCCCUUAAUUGAUGCUCCAUUCAUAUUUCAGCUCAUUCUUCAGCUCUGCAACUUCAUUCUCAGACAUUAUCAUUGUCACUCUUAAUCCCUUGUCGCCAUCUUUCAUCUCCGGAAGAACCAAAACCACCCCAUUGUCACCAACUCCAUCGAUAGUAUAAUUUGCAUAGACAGUUUUCACUCCCUUCAGCUCCAUCUCAUACAUUUUCGUGCCUUCAAGAUUAACGAAUGUCAGAUUUGCCCCGUACACUAUACAGUCCAAGUUCCCAUCCUCUUUGUCAAUCAGCUCUGCAAUCUUUUCUCGCUCAUCAACUUGUUUCUUUGCAAUGAAGUUAGCUACAUGCAGUACAUCAGCAUCAAAAUGUGCAUCGAACUCAACCGUGCUCACAACCUGCCUAUUACGCGGAGAUUCAUUUCCAAUGUCAUGAGAAUUGUGGGUACAUAUUGUCACAAAUUCUUGCAUCAGCUCUUUUCUUAUCUUAGCAAGAGAUUUCCAAAUUAUUGCAGAGAUGCAUUCAAAAGGCCUGAUCUUUUCACUUGGGCUUAGCCUGCAGAUUUUAGUAAGCAAGUGAUGAAGUUGUUGCUCAGUGAUAUGAAAAGAAUGAGUCCUCAUUUUGCAGUUAUUUGGGGCCACCCAGUAGUCUCCGACAGGGCCUACUGUUUUUAGUGAACAUGAUUUUGUGGUGAAACAAGGGAGUUUGUCAGUUUCAGAGCUUGGGUUUUCUGCAGGAUGACGUGGCGGAUGGCCUCCUAGGAUCUGGGCCCACAUGUUGAUGAAGGCAGAAGCUGUGAAGAUAUCUCCCAGAAUGUGGGACCAGCUGAGGCCCACAGACAUUCCUCCACACUGGAACCAAGUGAACUGGACCAUACCAAGAAACAGAAAUAUGAUUUUAAAUAAACUGGUUAGAGUUUUCAAAGUUAACUCAGGACACUCAUGAAUGCAUAGGCUUUUUUAUUGACCUGGAGCGAGAAAUGUUUCGUGCACAAGAUUGGGUUAUAAAAUUCUCUAACUCUCGACCCUCCUUCCCUAAGGACAAGCAACUAUAAUUGCACACACCGUCUGCAUUUAAGGCAUUUUUCGGUUGGGACUCUUGUGGUUAUACAUGCAGUGCAUUCCUCCUCUCAUCUAUCUGUUCUUAAGGAAAAUUCUACUGGUGAGUACAGUUAUUAUGGCCGGUACCAACAUCUCAUCUGCAUGAAUAAUUAUAUGCAGGACUCUCUUUUAUGGCUGUCAACUUAAAAACUUCUGAACUGUUUACCUAUCCCGCACAGAGUUUUACAUACGAAUUUGGUUCAGCUAAUAACUAACUUAUAAGUUGAAAACUACACACAUCUUUCAACUUCUAAGGUGUUUACUUAUCUGACACAAGCACAACUGAUUGGCCUUCCAACAAGUAGGUACUGGCAGAACUAAAUAUCAAUUGUUCUUCAUAUUUAAAGUCUAGCUAGACAGCCUAAUUGGGGACUGGGGAGGCUUAAAUCCAUGGCACACUGUAUCGCCAUUAAUGUUUGCCAUCUGGACCACACUACAGUUACUCGGUCAGAUAUUUAAUAGCCGCGCGAGGCAACAGUGUAUACUGCUUCGAUAGAUACAGGUGAUGUUUGAUAAUUAGCGGUGGAUUGAAUUAGUUAUUUUGACUAAAAGACUCAAUUAAUUAUUUUGACUAGUUGACUGAAACAGUUGUUUUGAUUAGCGGGUUAAAUUAACUGAUCUGAAUGACACUGUUUGAUAGUAAUUGUUUGAUUAGCUUUUUGCAGUUUAACUAGACACAUAUUAAUUCUCAUCUAAUUGAGAAAAUCAUAUUCCUGUAUUAUUCUAGCAUUUCCCCUUACUAUUAUAUCAGCAGGCACAAAAAGGAAAUCCUGUCUAGCUGCGAUUAUUAACCGAUUUCUUACACACACAUUUAUUAAGAUCACAUGUUUAUGAAUUACCAGUAUACUUACCUGCACAAAGACAAGUGGGGAGAAGCCAAGAUCAGGACCAAGAACAUGCUUAUAAGUAAGAUGAUCAUUAAUCGAAUGAUCAUCUUUCAUAAUUCCCAUCCACUCCUCCAAAUUUUUGCUACACUGUGCCUCCACAAUCCUCACACCGCUAUCAUUGCACUUUAUCAUCGGCCUACCUCCUCCGUGUUCCGACCUCCGGACUCUCCCAGAUGCCGCAAAAUAAACAUUAAGAAGCUGAAAAAAGGCCUUUUUUAAGUCAAGAAUCACUAGCCCUUCAACAGCCUUACUCUCAAAAAAGUACACGCCCCUUAUGUAAUGAAGCUUCAUUGCUAAAUCCAUGCUUGUUAGCUCAUGACUGCUCUUCUCCUCCGGUGUCAUUCUCGCCGGAACCACCGUGGAAAUCCUCUUGUUGUAAACUAGGUUCUCCAUUUUCUUGCACACUUAAAAUGAAAAAUGUUUGUUGGCUAUGAAAAAAUGAACAAGAUAGAGGCAUAUAUAUAGUGUUAAUAAAGGUGCCGUUUUCAAUUAUUUCGGGUCUUAUGCAAAAUAUACAAAUUGCACAAUGACAUGCAUCUCCCAGCGGAAAAUACAGUUCAUGCAUUAUAAAUGAGGUCUCCCGGAGUUGGACAGCUGUCUAUUUAUGUUAAAAGAAACAAUUAUCAUCACAAGAAAUUAAUACCGGCUAUUUAUUAGGUUGUUAUCCGAUGAGUACCACUUUUUUUGACAAACAAAUGAUUUUAUUAACAGAAAUCACUUAUCAGAACCCAGUCGGGACAAACCCCCGAACUGUCAACUACAAUCUGAUUGUGAAACAAAGAACGAGCUACACAAAUAGCCGUUUUCUUUUCAGAUCGCUUAACACAUAGAAUAUUUAAAUUCUUUGAUCUAAAAAGUAAUACAAUGAAAUAUCGAGCAAUCCAACCUACAUCAACUAUGAAACUCGUAGCAUCACAAUUGACCUCCACAUAAGCAUCAUCUGUAGCCCAACGUUCAGAACUAUCAGUUGUAUCAACUGAUAUUGGAGCAAUAAGGACUCCCAAAAUAUGAACAAAUUUUUGUAGUGAAAGGUGAGCUUUUGCGAUAUCCACCAUCAUCCCAGAAUCGAUGCAAGUCUUACAGAUCACCCAAGAUACCAUAUGAAUCCUUUUUAGAGAAACUUCCGACAACGAUACGAAAACACACACAAAACACAAAACAUGACAUACUAACAUCCCAAAAAUAUGGACACGACCUUGAUAACAAGGUACUCAACAAGAUCUCACAGAUCUUGGUUUAUUGAAAAAGUGAAAUACAGAAUAGAGGAUGGGAGAGCGAAAAUGAUUAAUCGAUGAGAGGAUGAAGAUUUAGAAGAUGGAGAAGUGGUGGCUAGAUACGGGAGUCGACUCUCAAAACAGGGAGGCAGAGAGAAGCCCUCAACUUCCUGUAUUUUAGGUAAACCAAACAACUCGAUGAGUACCACUUAACUACAUUUUUCAUUUGUAAUUACCGCGAGAAAUAUUAUAUCCAGAGCAAUCUUUUAUCUUUUAAUAUCCAGAACAUAUUCUAUUCUCAGCCCCCUUCCAUCUACACAAAUCAUACACUUUCAAUACAAAUUUUUGCAAAUUGCUCUGGAUAUUAAAAGAUUGCUCUGGAUAUAACAUNGGAAAGAGUCUUAUUUAUAAUACUAAUUUUAGAAAUAUUGUCAAAACAGCUAAUAUAACGCGUAAAAAGUUGAACUAUUAUUCGAGGGAAUAUUAAUUUUUUUAUUUGACUUUUAUAGUCAUGUGAAAUUUUUUUGUAUUAGAAAAAUAGAAGAUAAAUUUGGAUUAAUCCUAAAAAUUGUAACUAAUCAAAUUUGUUAAAUUUGCUAACGGGUUAAGUUCUAAUCUGAUUUUAAAUUAUGCACGAUUUAUUUAUUAUUUAAAUUAACAAAUUAUUUAAAAAAUUCGUUAAUUUGUAAACAUGCGGUAUGGUCAGGUCCUUGAUUGUUUCAUAUAAAUAGGCUGUGGGCACUGGGCAGUGGGCAAAACAUAGGAGUACUACUUUUAUGACUUGAAAAGGGCGAUGAGGUACAUGAAUGAGUAAAAUGAUUUGACAAUCAAUAUACUUGUAUAAAGCAGAAGAGAGGGAGCGUGUAGGUGGCGCUUGUCACAUCGGUCCGUUCUAUUUUUCUAAUUUCUGGAAUUUUUGGAUAAAAAAUAUCAUAAAUUAGAACUACUCUUUUUAGUUUCGGAUAUAUUGGAAACAAAUUUCAGAAUCUGAUUUUGUUUCAGAUUAUUUAUGGAAUAUAGCAGCUUUAAAGUUUUAAUCUGAUUUAGUUUCAGAUGAUUUAAUUAUGGGAGAGAGUAGCACACAAGUAUCUCUUCAUCUAUAAAUAUCCCUAUAGAUUGUAGGGUUUUGGAUCAUCUAAACACAACAUACUAUCUCAGUACCAUAACCGUACCUCUCUAUGCUGAUAGUUUGUUUGCUCGAUUUCUAACUCGGUGGUGUCAUUCUUCUGCAACGAUAAGUGAAGGCUGUUUAUACGAUAUUAAAAAAAUAAAGGUCGUUGCAAACAAAGGUAGUUAUAGACCGCUACGUGGGAGUCGACAAAUCCAAACACGGAAGAAGAAUGUAGUCUUGACAUGAUAUUGAUGGAUGAUAUCAAUAAAUUAACUAUUAGUGAUGUAUGUUUGUUGGUUAUUCUUUUAUAAUAUUUGUUUUGCUCAUCGGACAUGUUUGUUGUUGUUAAUUUUUAUAUGAUUUACUUUGUACACAGAAAAAUAUUAUUCAUGCAUUAUCUGUUUGCUCCGUUCAAGCAACUUUUAAGUGAAGACUGUUCAUACAGUAUUAAAAAAUAAAGGCCCUUACAAGUAAGGGUAGUUAUAGACCGCUAUCUCUCGGAUUUAAGUUAGAUGUUUUUGUGCACAAUCAUUCCAAAAAAAUUGGAGGAAGGUGACAAUGUAAGAACAUGAUUUCUUUUAUAAAAAAAACACAAAUAAAAUGAAUAUUCGAUGUGCUUUAAAUUGUUAAUUACGUGUAGAAAUUUAUUUUCAUUGUGUCAUUCUUCUGCAACGAUAAGUGAAGGCUGUUUAUACGGUAUUAAAAAAAAUAAAGGUCGUUGCAAACAAAGGUAGUUAUAGACCGCUAUGUGGGAGUCGACAAAUCCAAAUACGGAAGAAGAAUGUAGUUUUGACAUGAUAUUGAUGGAUGAUAUCAAUAAAUUAACUAUUAGUGAUGUAUGUUUGUUUGUUAUUCUUUUAUAAUGUUUGUUUUGCUCAUCGGACAUGUUUGUUGUUGUUAAUUUUUAUAUGAUUUACUUUGUACACAGGAAAAUAUUAUUCAUGCAUUAUCUGUUUGCUCCGUUCAAGCAACUUUUAAGUGAAGACUGUUAAAAUAAAGGCCCUUACAAGUAAGGGUAGUUAUAGACCGCUAUCUCUCGGAUUUAAGUUAGAUGUUUUUGUGCACAAUCAUUCCAAAAAAAUUGGAGGAAGGUGAUAAUGUAAGAACAUGAUUUUUUUAUAAAAAAACACAAAUAAAAUGAAUAUUCGAUGUGCUAUAAAUUGUUAAUUACGUGUAGAAAUUUAUUUUCAUUUUUUCACCAUGAAUUAUAGUCCGAUUUUGCAAUUUUAUAUAUCAGUAUUAGUAAUAUAAUUUUUAUAGACCGCCGCAACGCGCGGCUUCUCAACUAGUUCCAUCUAACUAGAUUUAUCAAACACUAGUGCUACUGCUGUGGAUUUAUAAUCCAGCGAUCACGCAUAGACCGUAUUGAUUUGAAAGGCAAAUUGUUUUGUUAACGUUUAAUAGUUCGUCUCAUUCAUUUUUAUUUAAUUUUUUUUUAUUAUUUAACAUAUAUUUAAAAUUUAAACUAUAAUUCAAUAAUUGAUUUUUAAAAUUUUUGUUGUUAAGUAAAAAAUUAGUAUAUAAUUUAUAAAAUCAUAUUUCAUAAAAAUCCUAAAAUAAAUGUCAAGCUUUCUGAUUUGUGUACUGUCAUCAAAGUCAAAAUCUAUACAGCAUCUCUUCUCUAAUUCUCCCUCCAUCUUUUUUAGUUGUCACAAUUACAAAAAACACAUAUAUCGAGAAGAAUUAAAUAUUAUAUUCAUUGUAUUAAAUAUUAAGUCAUAAGUGUGUAUAUAUUUUUGGUAAACUCAAACAUUUUGAAACACUAAUACGUUUUCCCCCAAAGCAAGUUCGACUGGAACUCGGAGAAGGAAGAGAUAAGAGACCCUAUAGAAAAUGUGGUCAGAAAUCCAUAAUAGAGUCCGACCACAACGACACAUUUUUGGCCAAUUUGAUUCAUUGGAGAGAUAAAUCGGCGGCCCUUUCCAUUGUACAAGCACGAUUGAUUGGACAACGCGUUUGUUUUGGAUACAAAAUAUUAGAGGUUCAAAUCCAGUCGAUCAACGAUAAAUAUGAAAAAAUAUAUUAUAUAUAUUUGUUUUAUUUGAAUGAGAUAAUUAAAGGAACGAGUAUGCAAUAGUUAGACCGUCUCCAACGCAGGAGUGCUGCGCUGGCGACCUGUUCCUGGAUCCAUGUUUCGUUUAUUGCAUUGGAGGAAAAACUGGACUUGGCCGGGGGCCGAGUUGGUGGCCAGCCAACUUGUGCAGCUUUUCUAUUUUUUUUUGUUUUGUAGCACAUGGGCUUGUCUCUAGAAUCAAAGUUGUAUUCAUGCAAUUACUUUCACUUUUCUUUUUAACUGAACUUCAUACAGACCCUGCAAAUAUAACGUCUAUAUUAACGUUUAAAAAAUUUUAAAAAUUGUAACGUUCCAAAAUUUUCAUUAUAAAUAAGAAGUUUGUUGAUAAAAAAUUUCACACUCUCUCUUCUACAAAUUUGGAUACAAGAUGAAUCCAAAUAAUUAUUCUGCUUCAAACCCACAAAAUUCCCAAUUUCCGAAUACUCAAUAUCCAUAUCCGUUUCCAAAUCCAUAUUUACCAUAUGCCCAAAAUCCAAAUAUUGAAAAUUCUCAAUUUUCAAACCCGCAAAAUCCAACUUACAAUCCUCAAGCCCCGAAUUCUCAAUUUCCAUUUCCAAAUCCGUAUUUUUCGCAUUCACAAAAUUCACAAUUCCCGUUUGUUCAAAAUUUUCAAAAUAUACCCCCACAAUUUGGAACCCAACAAACUACUAUUAGUAAUGAUUCCCCACAAUCACGAGGUUCUGCUUUCGAUAAUACUAAUAUUAUCGAUCUUAAUGAUGAUGUCAACGAAGUCGAAAAUGCGCGAGAAGGUAUCUCUCAGUGGACGUGGAGUGAAGAUAAACUUCUAAUUAGUGCAUGGUUGAAUGUAUCAACCGAUCCCAUAACCGGUAAUGACCAAAAAAAUGAAGCAUUUUGGGAUCGAAUUCGCGAGUAUUGUGAAGAAAGUACUCCAGGGCCUAUAAAAAGAGGAGCUAUAGCUAUGAAGAAAAGGUGGCAACGAAUAAAUGAAGGGGCUCAACGAUACGGUGCGUGUUACGAAAAAGCUGAACGAACGGUGGGCAGUGGUUCAAAUAUGGACGACAUAAUUGCAGCAGCUCACGUUUGGCACAAAACUGAUUACAAGAAGAAGUCAAAUUUUGACAAGCAUUGGAACGAGCUUCGGAGGAUGCCCAAGUGGAGAACUCCAACAUCAAGUUGUGGAAGUGGAAAGACAACGAAAUUGAGUGAUUCCGGAACUUAUUCAACAUCAAUGAAUGAUGAGACGCAUGAGAAUGUUGCAGAAUCUCCUGUUCGUACUAAAGGUAGAAAUGCGGCAAAGAAUCGAAAAGGAAAGGGAAAGGCAAAAACAAAAAAAGAUGAAGAGUAUGAAGAGUUGAAAGCCGAUACUGAUAGAAGAUUAAAUUUAAUUGAGAAAUUUAAUGAUGUUCGACAAAAGGAUUGUGAUAUACGGAUCUUGAUGGUUGAUACAACUAUAAUGAAUGAUACUCAACGGGAGAUACAUGCCAAGUUGCUUGCUGAAGUGAAAUCAAGGAUGAUGUAGCCGUUGGAAUCUAGUAUUUGUCAUUUUCUUCUUGUAUUGUAUUUGUUGGAAGUUAGUGUUUGUCUUUUUCUUCUUGUAUUGUAUUCUUUGGAAGUUAGUAUUUGUCUUUUUCUUCUUGUAUUAUGUGCGUAUUGGUGAGUCAAAGGCAAUUGAAUGCUUGAAGAAAUUUGUCACUGAUGUUAUUUUGGUAUUUGAGGAUGAGUACUUGCGAAAGCCAAACUCUAAUGACGUACAACGUCUAUUAAAGAUGGGUGAGGAUCGCGGAUUUCCCGGUAUGAUGGGCAGUAUUGAUUGUAUGCAUUGGCAAUGGAAGAAUUUUCCUACAGCUUGGAAAGGAAUGUUUACGAGCGGCCAUAAAGGGGUUCCAACUAUAUUACUUGAAGCAGUCGCCUCAUCAGAUCUAUGGAUAUGGCAUGCAUUUUUUGGAGUUGCCGGUUCUAAUAAUGAUAUAAAUGUAUUAGAUCGGUCACCGGUAUUUGACGAAGUGCUACAAGGUCGUGCUCCUGAAGUAAAUUACAAUGUUAAUGGUCAUGAUUAUAAUAUGGGAUAUUACUUAACAGAUGGAAUUUAUCCGGAAUGGGCAACAUUCAUUAAAACUAUUCCACAUCCCCAGGGUGAUAAGAGAAGAUUAUUUGCAAAAUAUCAAGAAGGCCAAAAAAAAGAUGUCGAACGAGCAUUUGGUGUAUUACAGUCACGAUUCGCAAUUAUACGUGGUACAGCACGAUUUUGGGACAAAGGAGAUCUCGCCAAAAUAAUGAGGGCAUGUAUCAUAUUACAUAACAUGAUUGUCGAGGAUGAAAGAGAUACAUAUGCCACUCCAUUUGGUCCUCUACCGACUUACGAUGAUGCAACAAAUGGUUUAUCACAACCGAUUCUAGAGGAAAAACCUUUUAUUCCUUACGAAAGGUAUAUUCAAAAUAAUUUUCGAAUUCGUGACAGAGAGAAGCAUCGCCAACUACAAGCUGAUUUAAUUGAGCAUAUCUCGCAAUUUCAUAAUAAUCGUUAAUUUAUUUAAUAUGUAAUGUUUUUAAUUUUAUGUUUUUAAUUUAUGUUUUUCGUAUUCUUGUAAUGCAUUUUCAAGUUAUGUAUUUUCAUUUAAUUAUGAGUGUGUUUACUAAUAUAUUUUGUUUCUUAAAUAUCAUUUAAGUUAUGUUAUUAUAAUAAAUAAAAAAAAGGUUUACGGCUUGUGUUUAUCAAAUAUAAUAUAUGAAGUGAAUGAAUGAAAUCAUUCAUUUAUGCGGACUCGGGCUCUAAUGCGGUGGAGCAACACAGACAACUCCAAAACCAAACUACAUUUUGCUUGCGUGGCUCAGAAAAUGGGUCCUACAAAACUUGGAUCCGGGCUUUGCGUUGCUGAUGGUCUUAAAAAGCAAACCAGAUUAGUUAGGGUAAUUAAUUGAUUAGUGGCCGUAUGGCCCGUAUCUAUAGCCUUGCUGUUGAGAAUUAGUAAAUGGGCCAUAUAUCAUAAAAAUGAUUAGGUUCUCAGGUUACACAGUGACAGUUGGGAAUAUAAAUGGGGCGUCAAUCAUGUCCAUUGUCCAAGCCUCCAAAGCACUUAAUUUAAAUAAAAUAAAGCUUUUUAUGAAUACGAUAGAAUAUGUAAAUGAGAUUAAACGCUUGUUAAAAAUAAUUAAUGGACGUUGCAAAACGCCAAACGGGUUGUACCAUUUUUUUUGGAGAAAAAAAAUACAAUUUAAAUAUUUUCCAAAAAAUAAAGAUAUAUCAUCUACUAUCUACUAUAUCUAUUAAACGAGAACAAGUUCUUUUCCUGAGCAAAUUAAUUCCUCGGUUCGGACACUCCAAGCCUACUUCCAAACCUGCUCACACAUAUAGAAACCCAGAGACAUCUCUACAUCUUCACAGACAGACACUUGCAGCUUCUCCCCGGUCCCCGUUCAGUAUCCAUGUUCAUGUCAACGAAUUAGCAUAUACCACAAAAACCCUCACCUUUAGCGGUCUCUUAGCAUAUUAGUGAUAUAUGCAUAACAGCCCUAUAUGCACGUAUCAUUCUGCUACUUACCCCAUGUGUCCUGCCGUUUCUGUUUUCCGACCCACUGCCACCGUUGCCGCCUCGUCCUCUCCUCCAUCACUCUCCUUCAAUCAACCCCACCAAACAUUUUCUCAACAUCCCUUACCAAACCACGCAGAUUUUGCACUUUUUCCUCAUUUUCUUCAUCCAGGACUUCUGUCGAACACAUAGACUGUAAUGCUGAAGUUGAAGGAAUAUGGGAUUUUCCCAACUCUGGUGCCGCCACAGCUAAUGUGAACACAUGGUCUGGAGCUGCUAUGCUCACGCUGUUGCUCAGAGCGUUUAUCGCUGAUUCGUAUUUAGCAUUAUCGACGAUCAUCGUUGCUUCGUUUCUUUAUGUUCUGGUAUGAUAUGCAUUCGCUAUUUUGUUUACUUAUUAUUAUUACCACGAAUCAUGAUUAUGUUUUAAAUCUUUUUUGUUGUAAUUAAAUAUGAAGUAGCUGAAAAUUUGUAUAAUGAUAUAGAAUGAAGUGAUUUAUUGGUAACACAAGUGAUCAUGCUAUGGUAAUAGGUAAUAAGUAAUGUAAGUUCUUAACUUUGUAUACAUUUUAAGCAUUCUGCUGGUGUUCAAUUAAACGAUUGACAGUUUGGAAGGUUCAGAAAUGCAUUAAAUAUGUAUAUGUUUAUGAAUAUAGGCAUUCAUUUGGAUCUUAGAUUGUUCUAAAGAAUGUAAGAUAGCAAAGGGUUUAGAUCUGAGCCGCUUCAUCAUUGCUUAAUUGGGUGUUUAAGUAAGUCAAUUUAACUAACCGUUCACUUUAACCAACUCUACAUAAGUACAACUGUUUUUCCAGCCAACUGCAAUUAGAGCCUGAUCAUGCUCUAAAUUAGCUAUCUAGCUGUAGCUGCAUAUGACUGUUGUACAUUUUGCACAAUAUUUCAAAAUAAUGGCCCAUGACUACAAAUCCGAUGGUAAUUAAUAUUCUGUCACAAGAAAUGUACACUGCCAACUUAAUCCUAGCCAAAUGCAUGCUUUCUAUAUACUUUUUUCACCCAGCUAAAAUUUGAGUUAGCCAUCUACUUCCAAGAUCAUAGCAUGGCACAUGCCAUAUAUCGGUGUGAUUACAAAUGUAAAAUGUUAUAUACAAAUACUAUCAAGUAUCUAAAAGUCAAGAAAUGUGUUGAGGUGUGUCAUUCACUUACUUGAGCUCUUUAUAUUUUUCAAAAAAAAAAUCAAAUACAAGUAAUUUGGAUUCCAAAGAAUUCGUCCAUCAUAUAUGUUUGGAAUCAUUUGCAUAAUUCUUGGAUUUUUAUCAUGUAUGUACUCUGCUGGCAACACAAUCCUCAAUGUAAUGUAUUUAUAUAUUGGCCGAAGGUUUUGUUGUCACUUUUUGUAUCCUUAAAUGAUUUAGUUUUUGCUUCUCGUGUAGUUUCAUCUAAAUCACCUCAAAGUUGGGGCAGAUAUCAUGAUUCAAAGGGCACCUUAUCAGGUAAAUAAUAAUUACAUGAGUAAGAAAUCUCGAUGUGUGGAACUCAACUUUGGCUUACUUGCUCGAAGACAAGCAUCCAAGGUCUUUAUGCUGACUAUUCUGAAUCAGAAAUUAAUCCCAUGUAUGCUUAAAAGGAGGAUGAAGUUGCGCGUGCGACAAGGGAUAUCAGUUCUGAAGAUGUUUGAAAUUUGGUUCUGAAGAGGUGGAGGUUUAGAAGAAUCUCAAAUGUUCAAUAUAUUGUUCUUGCUCCAUGAAUGGAGAGUUACGAGGCUUAUUUGGCUGAUGGUUCUGAUGGCAGGUACUCCUUUAGUACUUGAGUAUGUUUUCAGGUCCUUAGCUUUUAGCAGAAAUCAUUGUGUCAGAGAUGCCAAGUGAAAAAGAAAUUAUGCAUGAGACAGAUUUUUAUUGGUCCCAUCUAUAUGAUGUGUUCUAUUUAUCAAAUUUUAAUUUAUCUUAGGGUCUUUUUUUUUAAAACUUCUGAAGGUAACUGCUCAUAAUGCGGACUAACAGUACUGUGUAUAAAAUAUAUCUGCAAUUCUGCAUAGUACAUAAUGCCAUCUUUGUCUGCUGUUCCAUUAUGUGAAAAACUUUCAUCAUAAAUGGGUAAAUAUUCAAACAGAAGUUGGUGCGUUUUCCCCAAUAUGCAAACCUGAGUGUCACCACCCCAGAUACUCAUAUUGUGUGAUUGAAAUAUAUGUACUAGUGUUAUUAAUUCUUUUUGUUUACAAGCCUUAGCUAGCUGCAUGUCAUUCCUUUGUUUUUGCCUUGUAGUGAUUGAGUAAGUACUUUUUUAUGCCAAGUCUUUUUGUGUUAAAUACUCCUGUUGGAGAGCACGAUUGGAUAGCCAAGUGGUGGGUUUAUCCUCUAUUGUUCCGCGAAACCUGGGUUCGGGUUCGACUCUGGCUCAUUCCGAGAAGUAUUAGAACAUAUACUUAUUUGUAAGGCAUAUUAGCCUAUAUUGUCAAAAAAAAUUGAAAAAAAUACUCCUGUUUGAACAUAUAUCAAAUCUUAGCAUAGGAGAUACUCUAAUCUUGAAUUAUAAGCAUGGGACGUAGAAAAACAAUGUCAAAACAAUCCUUCCUUCUUUCCCCUUGUUACAAAAUAUUUUCUUCAGCACAAGAAGUACGACAAAAACAUUAAACAACAAUCAAAGAUAUAUUUUAAACACAACUGAAGACCCUUGAUUCAUUUACAGACCUUUCUGUGGUACAAGGGUUCUGGGAAACACUUUAAUGGGGACUUUUCAAUGGCUGUAGUUCAAGCCAAUAAUUUACUGGAGGAUCAGAGUCAGCUUGAAUCAGGCUGUCUGAGCUUGAACGAGUCAGGCCCGUAUUGUACUUCUGUAGGAGUUUAUGAUUCAUGUGGCCUUGAAUCAGGCUGUCUGAGCUUGAACGAGUCAGGCCCGUAUUGUACUUCUGUAGGAGUUUAUGAUGGACAUGUGGCCGUGAGACAUUGCGUUUAUCAGUGUUCAACUCUUUCAGCUUCUAAAGAGUAGGUAUCGUUUCUUCUAAUAGAGUUUUAAGUCAUUGUAUUGGAUUUGUUAGUUUCUUACAAGAAAUAAGAUAUACUAAAUGGACGCAAACCGUAGAUUUUGUUGAAUACUGGUCACUGGUGUUUAUUAGUCAUUUGAACCUUCAUGAUGACACAGUUGUAGCUGACUUGUUCUGUACAUGUUUUUGUUUUAGGCCAAACCCUAUUAAAUUUGACGUGUUCCUUAAAAAAAACCGAGGAUGGUUCCAUUCAUGUAUGGGGAACCAAAUAAAAUGAACUUGUAAACAAUUGAGGAAUCAUUGAUGUGUAUGCUUUUAGUCUCUCUUACUUUUCCGAGGGUUUGAGGUUAAUUAUAUGUCUGUGUUUGACAGAAUUUGCAUCUGAGCAUCAAUCCAUGUUAGAGGAGGUAAGAAAAGCAUUCUAUGCAACAGAAGAGAGUUUUACAUCUAUUGUUCGCGAGCAAUGGCCAAUACAACCACAACUUGCCGCAGUUGGGUCCUGUUGCUUGGUUGGAGUGAUAUGCAAUGGAAAUCUCUAUAUUGCAAAUCCUGGUGAUUCAUGUGCUGUGUUAGGCAGGUUUGUCAAGGCAACAGGGGAAGUUCUUGCUAUUCAGCUUUUAGCGGAACAUAAUACGUGCAUCAAGUCUGUAAGACAAGAGUUACAUUCUGUUCACCCAGAUGAUCGGCGAAUAGCUGUAAUCAUAUGUAAUUCCUGUCUACGGGUCCCGGAUCUAUCUUUCCAAAGUCGACAACUCAAAAAAUGUAAGACUCUGAACUUGUAAAUUUAUACUUUUCACUAGCCAUUUGGUCUGCCACAAUGAUGUCUAACACCUUGAAGACCUUAGUUGUGUUGACCAAUACUAGCUCCAUGGCUAUCCGUCUCAGCCACUAUCAGCCUUCUGCAACUAUUUUUGCCUUUACAAAUGAGUUAGUUGUACAAUUACAUUCUUAAUUUGAGUAUGAUGCUUACCUUCCUUGAUUGUAGGUGCUGAUUGAAGGUACAUGGAGGGUCCAGUUAGUAUUUAAAGUUGAAAGAAACAAUUGCUCCUGAUAAUUAUUGAUAAUAAAUGCCUACGAAUGUUAAUAGUACUUUUUCUUCAUGAUUGUCUUUCUUUUUGUAGGAGGUCCUGUUUUAAAUCCUCAUUAAUUAUGUGGAGAUUUAAGCCUUUCACGCAUAAAGAACAAGCGGGACUUGAAGGACGCGUCGUUGACAUUGGCAAUCUGAAAGUCCACGUCCGUAAUGUCAUUGCUGAGGGAGGGUUUUCUUGUGUUUACCUAGCUCGAGAUGCUAUAAAUGGUCCUAAACAGUAUGCAAUAAAGCACAUUAUUUGCAAUGAUGAAGAAUCCCUUGAAAUGGUGAUGAAGGAAAUCUCUGUGAUGAAAUCACUUAAAGGGCACCCAAAUGUUGUUACUCUAUGUGCACAUACCAUAAUGGACAUGGGCCGCACAAAAGAGGCUCUUCUUGUGAUGGAGUAUUGUGAGAAGUCUCUGGUUAAUGUGCUUGAGAGUAGAGGGGCUGGUUACUAUGAGGAGAAACAGAUACUUGCUAUUUUCAGGGAUGUGUGUAAUGCAGUCUUUGCUAUGCAUUGCCAGUCCCCGCCUAUUGCUCACAGGUAAUUAAGAACAUUUUUAAAGAUUUUUAAUAUUCAUUGUUUACUAUAAUCUUCAGAAGUCUUUUUUGAUUCUGGUGCCUUUGGACUUUCUGUUCAAAGCAGUUUGAUCUCUUAACAGUUGCUCCUGUGUAGAGUGCAUAUUGUAGUUAAGUUUGUAGUUUCUAUUUAAAUUGCAUGCGUACUUCUCUUUAUUAAGUUGUCCAAAGCUUUUUAAAUGCAGUUAAAAACUGGACAUAUUGUCAAAAUCUGCCCAUCAUCUCAGGAUUGUAUUUUUAACUUAAGCUCUUGUGUGCUACCACUAACCCUCAACUGAACUCUCAGUAAAUGAAAUAACAAACUAGGAUCUACUAAAAAAUCUUGCCAGUACCUUUUCUCGUUUGAUACUAAGUACCUGGGUAGAUUAUAUUAGAAUUUUACAGAGCAUAUGCAUCUGCAUUAAGAGUUGUUCUUGUGGGACUACAUUUUCUUAACAAAGCACUGUUGAUGCACUAUUGUAAACUAUUUACGGAGGGUAUUUGUGUUUGUAACACAAUACUAAGAUGGCAGUGUUAAUUAGGUAUCAAGGCUGUAUGGGUAAUAAAUUAAUGAAAAGUUGGCCUGAGGCCUGGGGCUAGGCAAAGGGUUUGGAUUGGCUGUGGCAUGGGCUGAAUGACUGUCCAAAAAAAUAAACUGAAAAUAACAGUUAAGCUAUAAUGCAAUAGUUGAAAAUGACCAAGAUAAGAGGAAAAAAUCCUUAAUCAUUUGUUUUUAAGCAAAAUGCUAUUAUCAUCUUAGCCUUUCAAUUAUUUUUUUACAUGUGUUUUAAAAAGAAGGUAACUGCCUAGUGAAUCGGCUAGCUCGAUAAUAUCAUAGCAGUUACCCAUGCUUUUUUUUUUGCUAUAAGUCACAGUGGAGCUUGAAUCUUUUGGUUUUGGAGUUUGGAUGUGUGUAAGUUUGUAGUACAUUUGAAAGUGAGGCAGUUAAAACAAGUUUGAAUUUUAUGGGUCAAAAGAGUUUUGUGUAAAUGCCUCUGUAGCCUUGCUGUUACAUUUGUUUGUGCUCUUUCUUCUCUCCUAUCCUUGCAUGUUAUGAUAUAAUUUAUCCUGGACACAUCUAACCAUUUUCUUUCUUUUUGACUGGUUUCAGAAAAAUAGAAGGGUUGGAAAGUUUUAAAUUGACAUUAAGGAGAGACAAUGUUAUAAGUAUACGAGAACUAAUAAUAGAAGAGAAGAAACUUGAAUGAAUUGUUUAACCGUGAAUUAAGUGUUAAUUCAUAACUAAGUUAAAGGACUAUUUGGUUCAACUCCCGAAAAAAGAAUGAAAUUCAGAAAGUGACAUACGAAAUCUUUUAUAUUAUGUAUUCUUAUAAAUUUUCUAAAAGUUCUUCAACUUUUUUAAUCGUGCUAGAUAAAAAUUUGUGCUCAUAAAUCUUUGUAUGUCCUAUAUAUUGUUGUUUUGUUCUUUAAUGUUAAUAUUUUUUUAUUUUUAUUUUCAUUUAUAAGUUCCAAGAUAUUGUGUUCUGUAAUUAUUUAUAUGUGUUCUUGUUAGUUAGGAUCUAGGGAAUUCAGUUAAAGGUUAUGGACAAAUUUAGUGUUUAUUGGUGUAUGAUUAAUAUGAUCUGCAUUAUGUAAUAACAAAAAUAUUGUCCUUUCAAACGAGUAUUCAUGUUUUUCAAUUGGGUAUUUCAUAUUUUGAAACAAGAAUGUCAACUUUGAAUGCAUAGAGUGGAUACUGCAAAAAGGCUACAGAACAAAUGGACAUAUACAACUUUUAUGUAAUGUUGUUAGAACUGGUGACAGGCAGGGAAGCUGAUGAGCAAUAUAGAAUCAGAGGAGUGAGGACACAUAAGUUAAAUUAACCAAACUAAUGGCAAUCCAAGUAGUUGAUUCUCAAACUCUGUCUUGACAAAUACUAUUACGAGCUCUAUAUUGUGGUCGGAUGCACAUCUGUGGCCACCAAUGUGUGAGGUUCUGAGAGCUCUGCAGAGUUUUUAAUUCAACUUCUCACCUUUCAGAUAUAAUGUUCCUGCUUCACGUAGAGUGUUUGAUAUGAUUUAUAUGUAACUUUUGGACAAUGACUAUGAAAUGUUGCACUUUGUACAUACACCUGGUUUUUGGCAUUUUGGUUCUAGAAUAGAAUGUGGUUUGAGUAUGGGGAUAAAACAUGAACAUGUGGUAAAAUUGCGUCAGAUUUGGCUUGAGGAGAAAAAAAGAACAUGUAGAAGAGUAAUAUUAGGAUUGAUAUUAUGUGUAACUUUUGACUGUUGUGGGUGUAACUUUGGCCACGGGAUAAUAUUAGGACUGAAUAAAUAGAGAUGAAACUAUCUGAGAGUUAUCAUUUGUCUUCUAUUACAAUAAAAUAUCAUUUAUCAAAAUUAAAAUUGUCAUUUAUUUGUGUCAGGAGUUACUAAAAAUUUAUAAUAUAUUAAUAUCAUUAAAAGUCAUAUUUAACUUUUUGAAAAACAACGAUAUAAUCACAGUGAAUAGAAUUUUUAUACGAGGCCCGUGCCUUGCACGGGCACUAAUGCUAGUUAAUCAAAUAAUAUGAUAACGUCAGCUAACGUAGUUCUUCUUUUCAAGUCAUAUAUAUUUACUAAAUUUUUGAAAGAGUAAGUUGAAAAAAAAGGAACAAUAUGAACAAAAUAAUUGUAGAUUAUUUUUGUUGGAGGAAACUAAAAUAUAGUUAAUUCUAAAUUUUGUCGACACGGAAAAUAGUUCACGUAUUUGUUAUAAAAAAAAUAAUAAUUUAUAAAAUAAAAAUAAUAUAUUUUAAAUAUCAACUAUCAACUUAAGGGUUCAGACUCAAUACGAGGAAUGCUAGAUCUCUCAUAAAAUAUUUCAAAAUUUUUAAAAAGCAACGUGUCAAAUUGUUCUCAGCUGCUCCCUUGUAAAUGUAAUGACCCUUUAAAGGAAGAUCUCAAGAGGAUGACGUGUCAUCUCUCAAAUCUCUCCUUUCCAUGGUUCUAAAUUUUGGGCUCUUUAACAAUUUAAAAUUAAAUUAAAAUAUUUUAUAAGUUAAUAAUUGACCUUUUGUUUUCCUAACAUUCUAUAUCUAUAUAUUUAUAUAAAGUAAAAUCUCGGACGGAUCCCGCAGAUGGUGACAUGGUGCUCUAGACAAUCUCCAAUCUAUUUUCCCUGUUUUCCUAAGCCUCCAAGUUCUGUAUUUUGCUUUAUUUUGUUUUUGUAUUUUACUCUUUGUCUUCCUUGCUUAUUAAUUAUUUCCGUUACAGAAUUUUGGUUUACCAUUGCCAUGACCUUUUGCUUUCCAUGCCAUGAUAUAUAUAUAGUGUGAGCUAUUCACGAAAAAUUUGUGUCCCCUGCCAAAAAUUGAGGUUGUUCAGCUCGAUUUCAUUUUACAGAGGUGAUUCUCAAGCUCUUUCCUUUUUUAUUGCUUAUAUGUAUCUGUGCCGAGGAAGAUCUCAAGAGGAUGACGUGUCAUCUCUCAAAUCUCUCCUUUCCAUGGUUCUAAAUUUUGGGCUCUUUAACAAUUCAAAAUCAAAUUAAAAUAUUUUAUAAGUUAAUAAUUGACCUUUUGUUUUCCUAACUUUCUAUAUAUUUAUAUAAAGUAAAAUCUCGGACGGAUCCCGCAGAUGGUGACAUGGCGCUCUAGACAAUCUCCAAUCUAUUUUCCCUGUUUUCCUAAGCCUCCAAGUCUGUAUUUUGCUUUAUUUUGUUUUUGUAUUUUACUCUUUGUCUUCCUUGCUUAUUAAUUAUUUCCGUUACAGAAUUUUGGUUUACCAUUGCCAUGACCUUUUGCUUUCCAUGCCAUGAUAUAUAUAUAGUGUGAGCUAUUCACGAAAAAUUUGUGUCCCCUGCCAAAAAUUGAGGUUGUUCAGCUCGAUUUCAUUUUACAGAGGUGAUUCUCAAGCUCUUUCCUUUUUUAUUGCUUAUAUGUAUCUGUGCCGAGGAAGAUCUCAAGAGGAUGACGUGUCAUCUCUCAAAUCUCUCCUUUCCAUGGUUCUAAAUUUUGGGCUCUUUAACAAUUUAAAAUUAAAUUAAAAUAUUUUAUAAGUUAAUAAUUGACCUUUUGUUUUCCUAACAUUCUAUAUCUAUAUAUUUAUAUAAAGUAAAAUCUCGGACGGAUCCCGCAGAUGGUGACAUGGUGCUCUAGACAAUCUCCAAUCUAUUUUCCCUGUUUUCCUAAGCCUCCAAGUCUGUAUUUUGCUUUAUUUUGUUUUUGUAUUUUACUCUUUGUCUUCCUUGCUUAUUAAUUAUUUCCGUUACAGAAUUUUGGUUUACCAUUGCCAUGACCUUUUGCUUUCCAUGCCAUGAUAUAUAUAUAGUGUGAGCUAUUCACGAAAAAUUUGUGUCCCCUGCCAAAAAUUGAGGUUGUUCAGCUCGAUUUCAUUUUACAGAGGUGAUUCUCAAGCUCUUUCCUUUUUUAUUGCUUAUAUGUAUCUGUGCCGAGGAAGAUCUCAAGAGGAUGACGUGUCAUCUCUCAAAUCUCUCCUUUCCAUGGUUCUAAAUUUUGGGCUCUUUAACAAUUCAAAAUCAAAUUAAAAUAUUUUAUAAGUUAAUAAUUGACCUUUUGUUUUGCUAAAUUUCUAUAUAUUUAUAUAAAGUAAAAUCUCGGACGGAUCCCGCAGAUGGUGACAUGGCGCUCUAGACAAUCUCCAAUCUAUUUUCCCUGUUUUCCUAAGCCUCCAAGUCUGUAUUUUGCUUUAUUUUGUUUUUGUAUUUUACUCUUUGUCUUCCUUGCUUAUUAAUUAUUUCCGUUACAGAAUUUUGGUUUACCAUUGCCAUGACCUUUUGCUUUCCAUGCCAUGAUAUAUAUAUAGUGUGAGCUAUUCACGAAAAAUUUGUGUCCCCUGCCAAAAAUUGAGGUUGUUCAGCUCGAUUUCAUUUUACAGAGGUGAUUCUCAAGCUCUUUCCUUUUUUAUUGCUUAUAUGUAUCUGUGCCGAGGAAGAUCUCAAGAGGAUGACGUGUCAUCUCUCAAAUCUCUCCUUUCCAUGGUUCUAAAUUUUGGGCUCUUUAACAAUUCAAAAUCAAAUUAAAAUAUUUUAUAAGUUAAUAAUUGACCUUUUGUUUUCCUAACUUUCUAUAUAUUUAUAUAAAGUAAAAUCUCGGACGGAUCCCACAGAUGGUGACAUGGCGCUCUAGACAAUCUCCAAUCUAUUUUCCCUGUUUUCCUAAGCCUCCAAGUCUGUAUUUUGCUUUAUUUUGUUUUUGUAUUUUACUCUUUGUCUUCCUUGCUUAUUAAUUAUUUCCGUUACAGAAUUUUGGUUUACCAUUGCCCAUGGCCUUUUGCUUUCCAUGCCAUGAUAUAUAUAUAGUCUGAGCUAUUCACGAAAAAUUUGUGUCCCCUGCCAAAAAUUGAGGUUGUUCAGCUCGAUUUCAUUUUACAGAUGUGAUUCUCAAGCUCUUUCCUUUUUUAUUGCUUAUAUGUAUCUGUGCCGAUUUAUAGGGUAAAAUUUGUGAUUCUAAUCAGUUUUGUAGGGUAAAAUUUGUGAUUCUCAUCAGUUUUUUGAGUUGAGUGUUUAUUAAUUUGGUGAUUUUUUUUAUGGGUGUUUUGAUUUUGAUUUUCUUGAUGUCUCUGGAUUGUAGGUAUUUUGGAUAGUUUGAGUCAUUGUAGUGUGAUUGAUGAAUUGCAGCUAGCCUCAGAAAUGGUUUACAAUUACCAAUUUUCUGAGGAAUUUAUAAUUGGUUGCAUUGGGUCAUGGCAACGCACACAGUGCUUCUGCCAGGAACUUUCCGGCAACUGUGCGGAAGUCUGGAAUUGGCUUUUCAUCGAGAUAUAUUUGCCUGAUAUGAGGAAUGUCACGUGCGACCGACGAAACAGGCUAAUUGUGAUUAUUUAUGUUGUCUCGAUCAUAUAUAUAGUGUUGCGGUUGUAAUUAAUCGAUCAAGCUAUUUUUUUUUCUUCUGGGAGGAAUAAUUUUAGCUUAUGUGCCAAUGUCAAUUGUUUGCCUGUAUAAAAUUGCAACUUUUCAAUAUACAGUGUCUCUUAAAUGUUAAUCAAGUUAGUACAUUGCAACUUUUCAAUAUACAGUGUCUCUUAAAUGUUAAUCAAGUUAGUACAUUGCUUUUGUGGACAUUUGUCCUGCCACUGGCCCACUGACAUAGUUUCUAGCCAUGGCCAUGCAGGAAAUUAAAGAUCAUUACAAACUCACUAAUCUAUGUACGACUGCUUUGGAAGAUGAAGAAAUUCCUUUCCAUGUUUCUAAAUUUUGGGCUCUUUAACAAUUUAAAAUUAAAUUAAAAUAUUUUGUAAGUUAAUAAUUGACCUUUUGUUUUCCUAACUUAUUAGUUAACUAGUGAAUAAAGCCGCGCUUCGCGGCGGCGUUAUAAAUUUUGUAUAAAUUUUGAUGCGAAUUAAUAUUAUAAUAGCAUAAAAAUUAUUUUGAGUCAUCUUCUGGUCAAACACACUAAUAAAACAAAUAUUAUAAUUAGUAUAAAAUUCUUUUUAAAUGGUCAUCCUGUCAAACACAAUACUAAUAAUAAAAUUAGUUCGAACCGCCCUCCCGUCAAAGACAAUAUUAAUCCAUAAUUUUUAUUUUUAUGAUAAAAUUAAAUAUUACCGUAUAAUUUAGAUCAAAAUCAGUUUGAGCCGCUCUCUUGUCAAAUACAAUACUAAAUAUAUAUAAAGGAAGAUCUCAAAAAAAAAGGAAGAUCUCAAGAGGAUGACGUGUCAUCUCUCAGAUCUCUCCUUUCCAUGUUUCUAAAUUUUGGGCUCUUUAACAAUUUAAAAUUAAAUUAAAAUAUUUUAUAAGUUAAUAAUUGACCUUUUGUUUUCCUAACUUAUUAGUUAACUAGUGAAUAAAGCCGCGCUUCGCGGCGGCGUUAUAAAUUUUGUAUAAAUUUUGAUGCGAAUUAAUAUUAUAAUAGCAUAAAAAUUAUUUUGAGUCAUCUUCUGGUCAAACACACUAAUAAAACAAAUAUUAUAAUUAGUAUAAAAUUCUUUUUAAAUGGUCAUCCUGUCAAACACAAUACUAAUAAUAAAAUUAGUUCGAACCGCCCUCCCGUCAAAGACAAUAUUAAUCCAUAAUUUUUAUUUUUAUGAUAAAAUUAAAUAUUACCGUAUAAUUUAGAUCAAAAUCAGUUUGAGCCGCUCUCUUGUCAAAUACAAUACUAAUAAAAAUUAUUCUAAUUAUGAUAAAAUUAAAGGUUAUAAUUGGAAAAAAAUUAUUUUGAACUGUGGUCCCGUUUUAACAAAUAAUAUAUUAUAACAUAGAUAAAAAAUUAUUUUAGCCAUUUCACGUCCAACAUAAUACUAAUAAAAAAAUUAUUAUUAUUUAGAUAAAAAUUAGUUUGGGCCGCCUCCCGUGCCCGUCAAACACAAUACUAAUCAAGAAAAUUUACAUUAUCAUAAAAUCAAUAUAUCCUAUUUUAUUUUAUUAAUUAUUUUUAUUUUAUGAUUCCUAUUUAUUAGUUAAAAAUUAUUAUUUUUUUAUGGUUCUAAUUUUUUUGCUAUUAGUUUUUUUAGUGAUUAUUAUCUUUACAAUCCUUUAUUUUCUAUUCGAAAUUUAAGAAAAUUAUAAGACUAAAUCGAAAAUAAAAAUUGUACGUAUUACCUUACACAUCUUAAAUAUAAAUUGUAUUUUAUCUAUGAUUGUUAGUUUAAAUAAAUAUAAAAAUUAUUCUAAUUAUGAUAAAAUUAUACAUUAUGAUUGGAUAAAAAUUAUUUUGAACCGUGGUCCCGUUUUAAUAAGAAAAUAUAUUAUAACAUAGAUAAAAAAAUUAUUUUAACUACUUUCCCGUGAAACAUAAUACUAAUAGAAAAAUUAUUAUUAUUUAGAUAAAAAUUAAUUUGGGUCGCCUCCCGUGCCGUCAAACACAAUACUAAUCAAGAAUCAUUUACAUUAUCAUAAAAUCAACAUAUGAUUACUAUUUUACAUAUCCUAUUUUUCCUUUUUGAUAAGCCAUAAAAAAUAUAAAAAAAUUAUUUUAUUUUAUUAAUUAAUUUUAUUUUAUGAUUCCUAUUUUUUAGUUAAAAAUUAUUAUUCUUUUAUGAUUCUAAUUUUUUUUGCUAUUAUUUUUUAAUGAUUAUUGUCUUUACAAUCUUUUAUUUUCUACUCGAAAUUUAAGAAAAUUAUAAAAUUACCUUACAANNNNNNNNNNNNNNNNNNNNNNNNNNNNNNNNNNNNNNNNNNNNNNNNNNNNNNNNNNNNNNNNNNNNNNNNNNNNNNNNNNNNNNNNNNNNNNNNNNNNNNNNNNNNNNNNNNNNNNNNNNNNNNNNNNNNNNNNNNNNNNNNNNNNNNNNNNNNNNNNNNNNNNNNNNNNNNNNNNNNNNNNNNNNNNNNNNNNNNNNNNNNNNNNNNNNNNNNNNNNNNNNNNNNNNNNNNNNNNNNNNNNNNNNNNNNNNNNNNNNNNNNNNNNNNNNNNNNNNNNNNNNNNNNNNNNNNNNNNNNNNNNNNNNNNNNNNNNNNNNNNNNNNNNNNNNNNNNNNNNNNNNNNNNNNNNNNNNNNNNNNNNNNNNNNNNNNNNNNNNNNNNNNNNNNNNNNNNNNNNNNNNNNNNNNNNNNNNNNNNNNNNNNNNNNNNNNNNNNNNNNNNNNNNNNNNNNNNNNNNNNNNNNNNNNNNNNNNNNNNNNNNNNNNNNNNNNNNNNNNNNNNNNNNNNNNNNNNNNNNNNNNNNNNNNNNNNNNNNNNNNNNNNNNNNNNNNNNNNNNNNNNNNNNNNNNNNNNNNNNNNNNNNNNNNNNNNNNNNNNNNNNNNNNNNNNNNNNNNNNNNNNNNNNNNNNNNNNNNNNNNNNNNNNNNNNNNNNNNNNNNNNNNNNNNNNNNNNNNNNNNNNNNNNNNNNNNNNNNNNNNNNNNNNNNNNNNNNNNNNNNNNNNNNNNNNNNNNNNNNNNNNNNNNNNNNNNNNNNNNNNNNNNNNNNNNNNNNNNNNNNNNNNNNNNNNNNNNNNNNNNNNNNNNNNNNNNNNNNNNNNNNNNNNNNNNNNNNNNNNNNNNNNNNNNNNNNNNNNNNNNNNNNNNNNNNNNNNNNNNNNNNNNNNNNNNNNNNNNNNNNNNNNNNNNNNNNNNNNNNNNNNNNNNNNNNNNNNNNNNNNNNNNNNNNNNNNNNNNNNNNNNNNNNNNNNNNNNNNNNNNNNNNNNNNNNNNNNNNNNAUUAUUAUUCUUUUAUGAAUUACUAUUUUACAUAUCCUAUUUUCCUUUUUGAUAAGCCAUAAAAAUAUAAAAAAUUAUUUAUUUUAUUAAUUAAUUUAUUUUAUGAUUCCUAUUUUUAGUUAAAAAUUAUUAUUCUUUUAUGAUUCUAAUUUUUUUUGCUAUUAUUUUUUAAUGAUUAUUGUCUUUACAAUCUUUUAUUUUCUACUCGAAAUUUAAGAAAAUUAUAAAAUUACCUUACAAAUCGUAAAUAUAAAUUGUAUUUUAUCUAGGACUAGUUGAGAAGCCGCACGUUGCGGCAGCCUAUAAAAAUUAUAUUAAUGAUUCAAUAUUAAUAUUUGUAGAAUAAAAUAAUUUUGUGGCUGUUUAUAAAAAGUAUAUAUUAAUGUUUCAAAAUUAAUAUUUGUAGGAUAAAAUAAAUUUAUAUUAUAAAAAUCUUGAUGUAAUACUAAUACUAAUAUAUAAAAUUACAAAAUUGGACUAUAAUUCAUGGUGAAAAAAUGAAAAUAAAUUUAUACACGUAAUUAACAAUUUAAAGCAUGACGAAUCUUAAUUUUUUUUUUUUUUGAAAAGUAAUCAUGUUUUUACAUUGUCACUUUCUUCCAAUUUUUUUUGGAUUGAUUGUGAGCAAAAAACAUCUAACUUAAAUCUGUGAGAUAGCGGUGUAUAACAACCCUUAUUUGUAACAAUAUUUAAUUUUUAAUACUGUAUAAAUAAGUUUUACUUAAAAGUUACUUGAACGGAGCAAACAGAUAAUGCAUGUAUACUUUUUUAUUGUAUACAAAGUAAAUCAUAUAAAAAUUAACAACAACAAACAUGUCCGAUGAACAUAACAAAUAUUAUAAAAGAAUAACGAACAAACAUACAACACUAAUAGUUAAUUUAUUGAUAUCAACCAUCAAUAUCAUGUCAAGACUAUAUUCUUUUCCUGUGUUUGGAUUUGUCGACUCCAAUAUAGCGGUGUAUAACUACCUUUCCCGUGUUUAGAUGAUCCAAAACCCUACAAUCUAUAGAGGUAUUUAUAAGUGCAGAGAGACUUGUGUGCUACUAUUUCUCAUAAUUAAAUAAUCUGAAACAAAAUCAGAUUAAAACUUACAAGUUACUAUAUUGCAUAAAUAAUCUGUCUUUCCCAUAAUUAAAUAAUCUGAAACAAAAUCAGAUUAAAACUUUCUAAAACUUUCAAUUUACUAUAUUCCAUAAAUAAAUUGUCUUUCCCAUAAUUAAAUAAUCUGAAACAAAAUCAGAUUAAAGUUUUCAAGCUACUAUAUUCCAUAAAUAAUUUGAAACAAAAUCAGAUUCUGAAACUUGCUUCUAAUAUACCCGAAAGUAAAAAAGGUAGUUCUAAUUUUUUGAUAUUUUUCAUCCAAAAAAUCCAAAAAAUUAGAAAAAUAGAAUGGAGCGAUGUGAGAGGCGCCACCUACACGCCCCUCGCUUCUCCUUUAUAUAAGCAUAUUGAUGAUUGUUAGUUUAAAUAAAUAUAAUCCUAUUCCUUUUAGGAUUCCUAAAUAAGAAAAGAAUUGUAUUACUAUUUUCAAUCCGAAAUUUAAGAAAAUUAUAAGAAAAGAGUUUUAUUUUUUAGAAUCCAAUAAAAAAAGAAUUGUAUUACCUUUAAGAUCCGUGAAUUUGAUUUUUUGAACUAUAAUUUUAUUUUUUAUUCGAAAUUUGAGAAAAUUAUAAGAUUGAAUCCAACUAUUAUCGAGAUUGGUUGUAAGUCAAUGCAUACUAUUUGAAUGAGGUUGUGAAAAUCUUAAAGAUGUUUUCAUAAUAGAGAUGCAAUCUUCUUGACCACUAUGGAACGAUGGGAGUUUAGCGCUACAAACCUGUUUAGACAAUUUGAGAUUCUGCAAUAUGCUGGUUUUUAUUUUUUAGAUAUAUAAUUUGAAAAAAAUUAAUAUAAUAAGAUUAUAAAUUUUAUAACUUUUAAAAAUAAGAAUUGUAUUUUUAAAUUAUAUUUGUUCAAUAAUUGUUAUUUUGAAUAAAUAAAACACAGGGCCAUCCUUGCUUAGUUUUUUGUUGCAAGCAAUACAAAUUAAGUUGGUGAUAAUCAGUAUCUGACCGUUCAAGAUGAUGACGAUGAGCUAAUUGAAAAUAAAAAUUGUAUUAACUUACAUUACAAAUUUUAAAUAUAAAUUGUAUUUUAUCAAUAAUAGCUAGUAAUCCUAUUGCUUUUAAGAUUUGUAAAUAAUAUCAUCUUUAGAAUUCGAUAAGAAAAGAGUUGUAUUACUUUUAGAAUUCUUGAACCUGAUUUUUUGAAUUAUAAUUAUAUUUUUUAUCCGAAAUUUAAGAAAAAUUAGAAAACUGAAUCAAACAAUUCUAGAGUCGCCCUGCAUCCUCCUUUAAAAUAAGAAAAGAAUUGUAUCAUCUUUAUAAUUUGAUAAGAAAAGAGUUGUAUUACUUUUAGAAUUCUUGAACCUGAUUUUUUGAAUUGUAAUUAUAUUUCUAUCCGAAAGUUAAGAAAAAUCAGAAGACUGAAUCGAACAAUUCUAGAGACGCCCGCAUCCUCCUUUAUAUAUAUAUAUUGAUUGAUUGAUAAUUGACCUUUUGUUUUCCUAACUUAUUACUCUAUUACAGUUAAAGAUUUUUCAUUAUAUCUGGAGCUUUGGAUCCACAAUGUUAUUCAGCCUUUGUCUUCCCAUUCACAUGAUCCAGAAGGUUCAUACUGAGGUCGCUAAAGGCAUCAAUGGCCUCGAUAGAUUCAUCCUCCGUCAAGCUCGCGGCAGCACCGCUUUCUUGCCUUUUUUUUACAGAUGUAUUUGUAUGGCGCCUAUGUCACUUCUUGAAAGAAUGCCUGUGGAGAGGAGUUGCUUCUUCUCAGUAGUAAGGUAUCAUGUGCUUCAUCGGGAUAGAUGAUGCAAAAUUGUGAUAUAUACAUACUUCUUUCAGUAGGCUGUGCAUACAUGGAAUACGGCUGAAUUGUUAUCAGUUGAAUUAGCAGAAAUACAGUUGUUUUCAUGUCCCUUCAACCUUCAGGUAGCCUGAAAAUUUCCAUGUUGGCCAGUUGGUCCGUUCCAUUCCAAGGUUCUAGCAAUUGUUAUUUGUUAUGAAGGCCCCUUUCCCUGGAUAUACACCCAACAUAUGACCUGAAUUUAUUUCUUAAUUAUUUUAUAUGAAUGAUUAGAGUCCGAAAAUUAUUUUGAUAUAUAGUAGUUUUCCCCAUUUAUAAAUUAGUUGUAAUUUUUUUUAAAUAAGUGUGAUCUGCCGACAUGUAUGUUUAUGUUAUUUGCCUCAUGAAAUGAAUAGAAAAAAAGAAGUUCAACUUGAAACUUACAGGGCAUUAUGAAAGUGAAACUGCUUGUAUCAAGGCUUGCUGCUGCCCAUUCCAUUCCAUACUAGACAAUUACUCAAUUCAGAUCCCGGUAUAUGUGUUUGUCGUGUGUUGAAAUCCUCUUCGAGUUUUGUAUCCCAAAUGAAGUUACAGCUUGACAGAGAUAUGUUGUGGCCUUAAUUGAAGCAAUGAACACGGUUGUGGAAGUUGCCACUUCCCUCGAAACUUAAAGUAAGAUAUCAUGCAUUGUUUUUCCACUUAAACCAAUAUAUGGAGCAACUGAUAUAACUCUUCUGAGCUCUGAUCAGAAGCCAGAUCUUCGCUCAUCAGGAUAUGACCCUAGACCGUCUUUCAGCCAAGCUCAGUUGGGGGAGGCUCCAUGUCAUAAGGGUGUAGCAACUAUUUUACCAGUUGCAGGGGAGCUCCACAUAGUUAGCAUGUUACAACAACAAACUCAGGGGCCAACAUCAAAAGUUAGCAGGCACAGAUGGAUGAGCAGAGAUAAUUGUACCUAAGUAACUGUAUUACAUGUUGCAACGCUAUGGGGGACGAGUGGACUAAAUUCCCAAUUACGCUAACCUGGGCAAAUAAUUCAGAGGACAUUUCAAGUCUCCGUUUGAUCCAAAUACAAGCUUCCCGCAAUGUUUUCUUGAUGAAUUUGAUGGCGAAGGAACAUUAUUACUUUUAGCUUCUGGUUGGUGAUGUUUGAGCAAGGAAGAAGCUGCUGCAUUUGAUUCGGUCGGAGGUUUCCCAUCCAAGCAUCUUGAUGAACCACUGAAAGCAUUGAACUUGGAAACUAACAUGGUUUAUUAUGUCGUAAAUUUAAUUAUAAUAUUUGGUUGUUGCAGGGCUCAUGUAAAACAUAUUUUAGUAGUUGUUUCAAACAAUUAACUAAGAAACUAUUUACAG